GGGACGAACGCUGGCGGCGUGCUUAAAACAUGCAAGUCGAACGAGACCUUUGGUCUAGUGGCGAACGGCGGAGUAAUACAUAAGCAACCUGCCUCAAAGACCGGGAUAGCCCCUCGAAAGAGGGAUUAAUACCGGAUGUGGCCUUUUGUGGGCAUCCACGAAAGAUUAAAACGAGUAAUCGGCUUUGAGAGGGGCUUGUGGCCUAUCAGCUUGUUGGUGGGGUAAUGGCCUACCAAGGCUUCGACGGGUAGCGGGUCUGAGAGGAUGAUCCGCCCGACUGGGACUGAGACACGGCCCAGACUCCUACGGGAGGCAGCAGUUGGGAAUCUUGCACAAUGGGCGAAAGCCUGAUGCAGCGACGCCGCGUGGAGGACGAAGUCUUUCGGGAUGUAAACUCCUUUUCCAGGAACGAUAAUGACGGUACCUGGUGAAUAAGCCCCGGCUAACUACGUGCCAGCAGCCGC
rnacentral:rRNA from 1 species